rnacentral:ncRNA from 1 species
UCGAGCCGGAUGAUAAAAAAUUAUCAUGUUCGGUUCCUUUGGAGGAUGGAUCUAUAAGAAUUUGCCUAUCCCAAU